rnacentral:lncRNA from 1 species
GGAUAACGGGGCCACAAGCACUUUUCUCCAGGCGGGAUCAGGAACCUCAGUGCCAGUGUAGGUCGGGGCGGCUGACCCCAGGCCUUGGGGGCCUCAGGCGGAGUCUCUGCCGCCUCUGAACGUGAGUCCUUCGAGGGUGCGCGCCACCUCGCCCACCUGCUCCGCCCACAAGAUGCAGGUGAGGCCGCACAGUUCAAAAGGUGGACCCAAACAGCGUUGCAGGCUGUGGUCAGGCGAGGGGAGUCCACUCUCUGCUAUGAUUCGAAUUCGUAUCAAGCUGCCACCGUCUCAACGCGGCAGCAAUCACACCAUGAGCCCUGCAUGCCACCCCAUGACCUUAGGUGCUGUGAUGGGGUCUAAGCAUUUGCGGACAACUGCCAGGACCAGAGCCUGAAGGCACAGGGAGGACUCCCUUAAACUGCGACAUCAGAAAUCAGGCUCUAAGUCACCACCAGCUCUGACUCCAGGUUGUUACACCUCAACGCCCAGUAUUCACCACAGGAUCUCAGGAUGCCUGACCCUUGAUUUGGGACUGUCGCCACCUCCUUUUUUUUUUUUUAGAUUGAAUUCAUAUGCAGAACAAUUCACCCAAUGUAAAUGUACACCUCAGUGAUGCAGAGUUGUUCAACCAGUACCAUGAUCCAGUUUGGGAACAUUUCCUUCACCUUCUCAAACUCCCUCCAGCCUCUCUGCAAUCUCCGCUCCCUCCUCUAGCCCCAAGCAAUUUGAACCAGCUUUCUGUCUCUAUCGUAUUCUGGAUAUUUCAUAUAAAUCGAAUAAGACAACUGUAGCAUUUCAUGACUGGCUUCUUUCACUUAGUUCUUAAUGUUUUUGAGGUUCAUCCGUGCUUCAGCUUCUAUCAGAUUUCUUUGCCUUAUAUUGCUGAAUUGAAUUCCAUUGUAUAGAUAUACCACAUUGUGUUUAUCCGUUCACCAGUUGAUGGGUAUUUGAGUUUCCAGGUUUCUUUGCUGUUAUGAAUAAUGCUGCUAUGAACACUUCCAAACAAGUCUUGUG